rnacentral:rRNA from 1 species
UACGAAGGGGGCUAGCGUUGCUCGGAAUCACUGGGCGUAAAGCGCACGUAGGCGGACUCUUAAGUCGGUGGUGAAAUCCUGGAGCUCAACUCCCGAACUGCCUUCGAUACUGAGAGUCUCGAGUCCGGGAGAGGUGAGUGGAACUGCGAGUGUAGAGGUGAAAUUCGUAGAUAUUCGGCAAGAACACCAGUGGCGAAGGCGGCUCACUGGCCCGGUACGUGACGCUGAGGUGGCGAAAGCGUGGGGAGCAAACAGG